rnacentral:rRNA from 1 species
CUGAUCCAGCAAUGCCGCGUGUGUGAAGAAGGCCUUCGGGUUGUAAAGCACUUUUAUCAGGAGCGAAAUACUGCCGGCUAAUACCCGGCGGGGCUGACGGUACCUGAGGAAUAAGCACCGGCUAACUUCGUGCCAGCAGCCGCGGUAAUACGAAGGGUGCAAGCGUUAAUCGGAAUUACUGGGCGUAAAGCGUGCGUAGGCGGUUCUUUAAGUCUGCUGUGAAAUCCCCGGGCUCAACCUGGGAAUGGCAGUGGAUACUGGAGAGCUAGAGUGUGAUAGAAGAUGGUGGAAUUCCCGGUGUAGCGGUGAAAUGCGUAGAGAUCGGGAGGAACAUCAGUGGCGAAGGCGGCCAUCUGGAUCAACACUGACGCUGAGGCACGAAAGCGUGGGGAGCAAACAGGAUUAGAUACCCUGGUAGUCCACGCCCUAAACGAUGCGAACUGGAUGUUGGUCUCAACUCGGAGAUCAGUGUCGAAGCUAACGCGUUAAGUUCGCCGCCUGGGGAGUACGGUCGCAAGACUGAAACUCAAAGGAAUUGACGGGGGCCCGCACAAGCGGUGGAGUAUGUGGUUUAAUUCGAUGCAACGCGAAGAACCUUACCUGGCCUUGACAUGUCUGGAAUCCUGCAAA